CUCGCCAGCCAAAGGUGAGUGCGGCGCACAGCUCAGUAACACGUGGCUAACCUGCCCUUGGGACCAGGACACCCCCGGGAAACUGGGGCUAAUCCUCGAUAGGUGAAGAACUCUGGAAUGAGUCUCCGCCAAAAAGGCGUUUACGCUAUGCUCGUAGGCGCCGCCCAAGGAUGGGGCCGCGACCGAUCAGGUUGUUGGUGAGGUAACGGCUCACCAAGCCUUUUACCGGUGCGGGCCGUGGGAGCGGGAGCCCGGAGAUGGGCACUGAGACAGGGGCCCAGGCCCUACGGGGCGCAGCAGUCGCGAAAACUUUGCAAUACACGAAAGUGUGACAGGGCUAUCCCGAGUGCCAUCCGCUGAGGAAGGCUUUUACCCAGUUUAGCACGCUGGGAGAAUGAGGAGAGGGCAAGACUGGUGUCAGCCGCCGCGGUAAUACCAGCUCUCCGAGUGGUGUGGAUGUUUAUUGGGCCUAAAGCAUCCGUAGCUGGCUAAGUUAGUCCCUUGUUAAAUCCACCGAAUUAAUCGUUGGAUUGCGGGGGAUACUGCUUGGCUAGGGGACGAGAGAGGCAGACGGUAUUUCCGGGGUAGGGGUGAAAUCCUAUAAUCCCGGGAAGACCACCAGUGGCGAAGGCUGUCUGCUAGAACGCGCCCGACGGUGAGGGAUGAAAGCUGGGGGAGCGAACCGGAUUAGAUACCCGGGUAGUCCCAGCUGUAAACGAUGCAGGCUAGGUGUUUGGACGGCCACGUGCCGUUCUAGUGCCGCAGGGAAGCUGUUAAGCCUGCCGCCUGGGGAGUACGAUCGCAAGAUUGAAACUUAA
rnacentral:rRNA from 1 species